GCUGGGCGUGGUGGUGGGUGCCUGUAAUCCCAGCUACUCGGGAGGCUGAGGCAGGAGAAUCAUUUGAACCCAGGAGGCAGAGGUUGCAGUGAGCUGAGAUCAUGCCACUGCACUCCAGCCUGGGCAACAGAGUGAGACUCUGUCUCUA
rnacentral:SRP_RNA from 1 species